rnacentral:rRNA from 1 species
UACGUAGGGUGCAAGCGUUGUCCGGAAUUAUUGGGCGUAAAGAGCUCGUAGGCGGUCUGUCGCGUCGGAUGUGAAAAUCCAGGGCUCAACCCUGGACCUGCAUUCGAUACGGGCAGACUAGAGUUCGGUAGGGGAGACUGGAAUUCCUGGUGUAGCGGUGAAAUGCGCAGAUAUCAGGAGGAACGCCGGUGGCGAAGGCGGGUCUCUGGGCCGAAACUGACGCUGAGGAGCGAAAGCGUGGGGAGCAAACAGG